rnacentral:misc_RNA from 1 species
AAUGCAUAAAAAUGAAGAACAGAACUUGAAUUGAGUAAAUUAUUGAACUAAAAUGGAGGUUACUAGUUAGACAUAUAGAGUCCCACCAGUAUUCAGGCUGCAGGCAUAAUGUGCCCAUGUCAGACACCCUAAACAUUCUGUUUUAUUCAUUUCAUAGUUAAAUCAAAUUAAGACGAUCCAAAUUUUUACCUUGAGCCAACACCUCCUAUACCA